rnacentral:lncRNA from 1 species
AACCCCUUGGGGUGCCCCCCUGACCCCAUUACCCUUCCGGAUCCCAACUGGAUCUACAAGAUCCCACCACAGCAGAUCCCCUACUGGAUCCCCAUGGUGGAUCCCCACCAGAUCCCAGCUCCCCGGGAUCCUCGGGCUUUGCAAGGUGUCUGCAGACCCCUGGGGCAAUACGAGGGUGACCGGGAUCCCCUCGGGGCACCCCCCCUGACCCCAUUUCCCCCACCGGAUCCCAGCUGGAUCUACGAGAUCCCGCCACAGUAGAUCCCCUACUGGAUCCUCAUGGCGGAUCCCAAUCAGAACAGAUUCCUGGGGUGAUACAAAUGUGAUGAGGAACCCCUUGGGGUGCCCCCCUGACCCCAUUACCCCUCCGGAUCCCAACUGGAUCUACAAGAUCCCACCACAGCGGAUCCCCAUGGUGGAUCCCAACCAGAUCCCAGCUCCCCGGGAUCCUGGGGCAGUACGAGGUGUCUGCAGACCCCUGGGGCAAUACUAGGGUGAUGGGGAUCCCCUCGGGGCACCCCCCCCACCCCAUUUCCCCCCACCGGAUCCCAGCCGGAUCUACGAGAUCCUCCCGCAGCGGAUCCAGCAGUGGCAGCAGAGCCCGUGCGUGGCGGAGGAGCACGGCAAGCGGCUGCUGGAGCGCAUCCGGCGCGAGCAGCACCAGGCCCGCCUGCGGCUGCAGGAGAUGGAGCGCCGCUUCCACGAGCUCGAGGGGCUCAUCGCCCGCGCCAAGGGGCACCCCCCCCGCGAGGACGAGGAGACCAAUGAUGGGGACAGCGAGGACACCGACCUGCAGAUCUUCUGCGUGUCCUGCGGCCACCCCAUCAACCCCAAGGUGGCCCUGCGCCACAUGGAGCGCUGCUACGCCAAGGUACCCGCACCCUUGGGUGCCCCUGGGGGGGUGGGGGGGGCGUGGGGGGGGUGCUGGAGGUGUUAGGGGGCGCCUUUGGGUGCUAUAGGGGACGUAUGGGACUUGUUAAUGGGUGCUAUAGGGGGUGUGGGGCGCCUUUGGGUGCUAUAGGGGCUAUAUGGACCUUGGUGUUGGGUGCUAGAGGUGCUGUGGGGUUCCCUUGGGUGCUAUAGGGGCUAUAUGGACCUUGUUACUGGGUGCUAGAGGUGUUAUGGGGUUCCCUUGGGUGCUAUAGGGGCUAUAUGGACCUUGGUGUUGGGCUCUAUAGGUGCUGUGGGGUGCCUUUGGGUGCUAUAGGGGAUGUAUGGACCUUGUUUUUGGGUGCUAGAGGUGGUGUGGGGUGCCUCUGGGUGCUAUAGGG